rnacentral:misc_RNA from 1 species
AACUCUCAACCCCCUCAUUUUGUAAUGAAGUGUAGCGCGGGCUUGGUUUAUGGUUGCUGUCGGCGUAAAUGCCGGCUCAACUGAAAUUGACGAGCGACCCAGUUUGAAUACCAGACGGCUUGACUCGGCGUAAUAACUAUUACCGCUGAGGACGUCUACCUUUCAAAUCGUUAGUGGUGCUUCUAAUGCAUUUAUAAUUUAAGC